rnacentral:sRNA from 1 species
AAGCUUCCUGGAUUGUGUAUAACUUACUAGAUGUACGCGCGACCAUUGAGUUAUUGGAUCAUAAACCGAGAUCGUGUCGGGACUUAUUUCAUCAUCAACUGGUAGGUGUCAUAUCAUCCUCCUAUGGAGCAUGUCUGUGCUAGUUUAAUUGAGUUCUGCAUAAAAAUGAAGUUUUCCAUGACAGGUAAGUGUAUCGAAAACUAAGAUGUUUUAAUAUAUUAAUAGAUAAAGAAAGAAAAUAUUCAAGUCACGUCUAAACACAUAUUAGUAACUUGACAAGGAGUAUUGAAGGGAAUACGUCCUCAUCUUAGAAAGUACGUAAGUACGUGUAAGAGGCACAUAUGCAAUGUGUUGUCAUAAUGAAAUCUGGAUUUAAGCGCUCUGGACACAUUUAAAUCAGAAGAAUAUCAUUGGACGGUCAUUAAAAAAACGGAAUUGUAACAGAUUACUUAAAUGAUAAAAUAAAAGUCAAGAGUAUUGGAGAGCCAGGUGAAUUUUCAUGCUUGGUUGAUUGUUCUAGACCAUUAGAAUCAUACAAAGAAUAUGGCCUCCGGAGGGUGCGGUUAACUAAACUGUGUUAGAGUGAAUUCAAUGUACAUAAAAGGGGAAGUAUGAUAAAGAACACACAGCUAUUACAACGACCACUUUAUGAAUGAAGU